GUGGGGAAUUUUGGACAAUGGGCGCAAGCCUGAUCCAGCAAUGCCGCGUGCAGGAAGAAGGCCUUCGGGUUGUAAACUGCUUUUGUACGGAACGAAACGGUCCGGGUUAAUACCCUGGGCUAAUGACGGUACCGUAAGAAUAAGCACCGGCUAACUACGUGCCAGCAGCCGCGGUAAUACGUAGGGUGCAAGCGUUAAUCGGAAUUACUGGGCGUAAAGCGUGCGCAGGCGGUUUUGUUAGACAGGCGUGAAAUCCCCGGGCUCAACCUGGGAAUUGCGCUUGGGACUGCAAGGCUGGAGUGCGGCAGAGGGGGAUGGAAUUCCGCGUGUAGCAGUGAAAUGCGUAGAUAUGCGGAGGAACACCGAUGGCGAAGGCAAUCCCCUGGGCCUGCACUGACGCUCAUGCACGAAAGCGUGGGGAGCAAACAGGAUUAGAUACCCUAGUAGUCC
rnacentral:rRNA from 1 species